AUUGAACGCUGGCGGCAGGCCUAACACAUGCAAGUCGAGCGGCAGCACAGAGAAACUUGUUUCUCGGGUGGCGAGCGGCGGACGGGUGAGUAAUGCCUGGGAAAUUGCCCUGAUGUGGGGGAUAACCAUUGGAAACGAUGGCUAAUACCGCAUGAUAGCUUCGGCUCAAAGAGGGGGACCUUCGGGCCUCUCGCGUCAGGAUAUGCCCAGGUGGGAUUAGCUAGUUGGUGAGGUAAGGGCUCACCAAGGCGACGAUCCCUAGCUGGUCUGAGAGGAUGAUCAGCCACACUGGAACUGAGACACGGUCCAGACUCCUACGGGAGGCAGCAGUGGGGAAUAUUGCACAAUGGGCGCAAGCCUGAUGCAGCCAUGCCGCGUGUGUGAAGAAGGCCUUCGGGUUGUAAAGCACUUUCAGUCGUGAGGAAGGUGGUAGUGUUAAUAGC
rnacentral:rRNA from 1 species